UCUUCAUUGAACGAACCUUCUGUCUUGCCUUUCAUGUACUCACGGACACGACCCAUGGGAAGCGUUUCAGUUGCAUCCUGAAAUACAAAAAUACAGGUGAAAAAACCUACUAAAUCUAUCAACUAAAUACAGGAUUUUAGUGGAAACAAGGACAAAGGAUUCUGGUAUCACUGGUGUUGGCAGAUUUGGAGAUUUCAUCAAUCUAAUACUGCAGGAAAGGUUGUUUUCUAAAUCAGUUGUAACAGCAGCUGUCAAACCUACACCUGAAGAUCCCCUACCAGUGGUGGUAAUAGCACGAGGAGCAGUGUUCAAAACAUAACGAAGUAGCUGGGAUUUGGCUACAGAUGGAUCUCCAAUCAAGAGGAUAUUGAUGUCACUAUAGAUAAAGUUAGGGUACAAAUUAAAAUCCAAUCAAAGAGAAAGAAGAAGCAACUAAAGGCUUUUCAAUGUUUAACCUCCUCUGGGUUUACCAAUAAAUGGAGCAGACAAUUUAUAUAAUAAUAAUGAUGAGUAUUAGCAUGAAAGGGAAAAAUUUAUAUUAAAGAAUGUUACAUAGAGACCCUAACUUAGGAUGCUCUGCCAGCAACCUUUUCUUUAAUGCCAACAUGAGCAUAAUCCAGCAUAUCUAGGUAAAUAUUAUUAACACUGUCAUAUGAAAUGGAUGCACAAAUUUAACUAGAGAAGUGUAAUCAAGGACAGAAUACAUUAAAAAAGUUUCGAACAUCAAGCAAAAUAUAUUAUGGCACAGGAACAUAGCAUUAAGAUAGCAAUAAAGAUAAACCAAAACACUGUGGCACUUCAUGAAAGUACAAUGACUGCUUUGUGAAACAAAAUGUGUUCACCCUAGAGGCCCUGACAUAAAGUCCACUAUUUGCAACCAUCCAAUGAUGGUGUAACCUAUAAUUAUUAUUAAUGGGUAAACUAACCUCCUGUAUGGACUGUUUCUUCUAUGAAAUCAAAGUCACACAAAGAAACAACAUAUAUACAUAUUGAAGUUUUUAAAUGAGUGAAUUCCAACUCACCGUUCAAGCAUGAAAACUCAUAACAAAAAGCUGAAGUUUCAUUAACAAAAUGAGUUAUAAUUAUCUCCCAAAUUAAUAAAAUAUAACCACGUAAAGUCUUUGUAAUGCAUUUUUUUGAACAGCGGAGGACAAGAAUGAACAUGAAAAAAUAUUAUUUGAUCAACGUGAGGGCACUUACAAAAGCUGCCGUAAUUUGUAUAAUUAUGUAAAAAAAUAAAAAUACCCUAUACAUCAUACAUUUUCAUACACAUUUUAAACAUAAAAGCAUGAACAUUUAUAAAAUUGACACAUCGAUCGCUAAAUUUGCACUCUUUUUGAACUCUAUAUUUUUGGAAGAGCGGCAGGCAGCAGCGGACAAGAACGAACAUGAAAAAACAUCCUCUGAUAUCGUAGAGGGCAGUUUCAAAAGCUGCCUUUGUAUCAUAUUUAUGCACUGAAAUAAAAAUACCCUAUACGUACGACAUUUUCAUGCACAUUUUAAACAUAAAUGCAUGAACAUUUAUAGACACAAUGAUCGCUAAAUUUGCACUUUUUUUAACUCUAUAUUUUCGGAAGAGCAGAAGGCGGUGGCUCACAAGAACAAACAUGAAAAAACGUCCUCUUUGAUAACUGGAGGGCUGUUUCAAAAGCUGUCUUUGUAUCAUAUUUAUGUGCAGAAAUAAAAAUACCCUAAUACAUUUUCAUAAAAUUGUAAACAUAAAACCAUGAACAUUUGUAAAUGGACACAUCCAUAGCUAAAUUUGCACUUAUUUAACUCAAUGUUUUUGGCUUAGAACAGCAUCAGGGGCAUAUGGUUUACCCUAAUACCUAUGUAAUAACUAUCAAUAAAUUUUUAAAAUAUAA